UACGGAGGAUGCGAGCGUUAUCCGGAUUUAUUGGGUUUAAAGGGUGCGUAGGCGGUCCGUUAAGUCAGCGGUAAAAUUUCGGGGCUCAACCCCGUCGUGCCGUUGAAACUGACACCCUUGAGUGAGUGAGAAGUAAGCGGAAUGCGUGGUGUAGCGGUGAAAUGCUUAGAUAUCACGAAGAACUCCGAUUGCGAAGGCAGCCUGCUGGACUGUAACUGACGCUGAUGCUCGAAAGUGUGGGUAUCAAACAGG
rnacentral:rRNA from 1 species